rnacentral:rRNA from 1 species
UACGUAGGUGGCGAGCGUUGUCCGGAUUUACUGGGCGUAAAGGGAGCGUAGGCGGACUUUUAAGUGAGAUGUGAAAUACUCGGGCUCAACUUGAGUGCUGCAUUUCAAACUGGAAGUCUAGAGUGCAAGAGAGGAGAAUGGAAUUCCUAGUGUAGCGGUGAAAUGCGUAGAGAUUAGGAUGAACACCAGUGGCGAAGGCGAUUCUCUGGACUGUAACUGACGCUGAGGCUCGAAAGCGUGGGGAGCAAACAGG